CCUACGGGCGGCAGCAGUGAGGAAUAUUGGACAAUGGGCGCGAGCCUGAACCAGCCAAGUAGCGUGAAGGAUGACUGCCCUACGGGUUGUAAACUUCUGUUAUAAAGGAAUAAAGUGAGGCACGUGUGCCUUUUGGGAUGUACUUUAUGAAUAAGGAUCGGCUAACUCCGUGCCAGCAGCCGCGGUAAUACGGAGGCGCCGAGCGUUAUCCGGAUUUAUUGGGUUUAAAGGGAGCGUAGAUGGGUUGUUAAGUCAGUUGUGAAAGUUGGGGGCUCAACCGUAAAAUUGCAAUUGAUACUGGGAGUCUUGAGUACAGGUGAGGUAGGCGGAAUUCGUGGUGUAGCGGUGAAAUGCGUAGAUAUCACGAAGAACACCGAUUGCGAAGGCAGCUUCCUAGACUGCAACUGACAUUGAUGCUCGAAAGUGUGGGUAGCAAACAGGAUUAGAUACCCCAGUAGUC
rnacentral:rRNA from 1 species